rnacentral:rRNA from 1 species
CCUACGGGAGGCAGCAGUGGGGAAUAUUGCGCAAUGGGCGAAAGCCUGACGCAGCGACGCCGCGUGAGGGAUGAAGGUCUUCGGAUCGUAAACCUCUGUCAGCAGGGAAGAACGGUAACUGUGCUAAUCAGCAGUGACUUGCCAGUUACUGCCCAGCAACCACCGGCUAACUUCGUGCCAGCAGCCGCGGUAAUACGGAGGGUGCGAGCGUUAGUCGGAAUUACUGGGCGUAAAGCGAGCGUAGGCGGUAUGUCAAGUCCAGGGUGAAAUCUCUGCGCUUAACGUGGGAACUGCCUUUGAAACUGGCAAACUGGAGUGUAGGAGAGGAUAGUGGAAUUCCAGGUGUAGGAGUGAAAUGCGUAGAUAUUUGGAGGAACACCAGUGGCGAAGGCGACUAUCUGGCACAUAACUGACGUUGAGGAGCGAAAGCGUGGGGAGCAAACAGGAUUAGAUACCCGAGUAGUC